rnacentral:rRNA from 1 species
UUUCUAUGGAGAGUUUGAUCCUGGCUCAGGACGAACGCUGGCGGCGUGCCUAAUACAUGCAAGUCGAGCGGACGAUUCAAAAGCUUGCUUUUGAAUCGUUAGCGGCGGACGGGUGAGUAACACGUGGGCAACCUGCCCUGUAGACGGGGAUAACACCGAGAAAUCGGUGCUAAUACCGGAUAACACGAAAUGUCGCAUGACGUUUCGUUGAAAGGCGGCGCAAGCUGCCGCUACAGGAUGGGCCCGCGG